rnacentral:rRNA from 1 species
CCUACGGGCGGCAGCAGUGGGGAAUAUUGGGCAAUGGGCGCAAGCCUGACCCAGCAACGCCGCGUGAAUGAAGAAGGCUUUCGGGUUGUAAACUUCUUUUAAGAGGGAAGAGCAGAAGACGGUACCUCUUGAAUAAGCCACGGCGAAAUACGUUACAGCAGCCUCGGUAAUACGUAGGGUGCAAGCGUUGUCCGGAUUUACUGGGUGUAAAGGGCGUGCAGCCGGGAAGAAAAGUCAGUUGUGAAAUCCCGCGGCGCAACCGCGGAACUGCAUUUGAAACUGUUUUUCUUGAGUACCGGAGAGGUCAUCGGAAUUCCUUGUGUAGCGGUGAAAUGCGUAGAUAUAAGGAAGAACACCAGUGGCGAAGGCGGAUGACUGGACGGCAACUGACGGUGAGGCGCGAAAGCGUGGGGAGCAAACAGGAUUAGAUACCCUGGUAGUC